rnacentral:rRNA from 1 species
AUUGAACGCUGGCGGCAUGCCUUACACAUGCAAGUCGAACGGUAACGCGGGGCAACCUGGCGACGAGUGGCGAACGGGUGAGUAAUGCAUCGGAACGUGCCCAGAAGUGGGGGAUAGCCCGGCGAAAGCCGGAUUAAUACCGCAUGAGACCUGAGGGUGAAAGCGGGGGAUCGCAAGACCUCGCGCUUUUGGAGCGGCCGAUGUCAGAUUAGCUAGUUGGUGGGGUAAAGGCCUACCAAGGCGACGAUCUGUAGCUGGUCUGAGAGGACGACCAGCCACACUGGGACUGAGACACGGCCCAGACUCCUACGGGAGGCAGCAGUGGGGAAUUUUGGACAAUGGGCGCAAGCCUGAUCCAGCCAUGCCGCGUGCGGGAAGAAGGCCUUCGGGUUGUAAACCGCCUUUGUCAGGGAAGAAACGCUCUGGGCUAAUACCCUGGGGUAAUGACGGUACCUGAAGAAUAAGCACCGGCUAACUACGUG